GCUGGCGUAGCUCAGUGGUAGAGCAGCUGAUUUGUAAUCAGCCGGUCAUGGGUUCAAAUCCGAUCGCCAGCU
rfam:Oscillatoriales cyanobacterium TSR001 contig_30, whole genome shotgun sequence.